rnacentral:hammerhead_ribozyme from 1 species
AUCCAACUGACGAGUCUCAAAUAAGAUGAAACGAGCUUCCUGGAU